UCUGUUUUUAUAACAGUUAAAGCUUUUUUCAUGUAGUCGCGAUGUUAUAUUGUGACAUGUUUAUCAAAAUAAAAACUGAUAAACACGUAGAACCCUCUACAUUGGUACGCCUAUUUAAAUAAUAUAUGCUUAUGUUGAGCUUUAUUCUUAUAAAAACAGACGCUGUAAGCAGUACAUAAAGUAUUGAAUGAAAAUGUCUCUGAAACAUCUGUGUAUUAAUAAAAUAGUGCAUUUAUUUCACUUCAGCUGUGAUAAAGUAUGCAAACGCAGCGCGAGCGUCACUACGGGAAGCAGAAAGUGUCCGACUUCACAUCUCCGUUUUCAGCUCCUCCCCGUCCGCACGCGGCCACUCUCGCCGAAUCGGUUACAUCCAGCCGCAGCCGAUGUCGAACACACCUCUUGUCUAGCUUUGUUCCCUGUAAUCUGCUGUUGGAAAAUUCCUUCAAGCCUUGGCCCACCUGCUGGUUACCUUCCCCUUCACGCAGCCUGCAGAGAGCAACCAGGCAGAAAUCUCCCUGAGUCACAUCAUCUCCCCCUCAACCCUCCGGCACAGCCACUGUCCAAGACAAGCAGAAAAAAGAUUCCAGGAGCUGGAGAUGUUGGGAAGAGAUCCAGAUCAAUUACAGUAUGUGCACAGAGCUGACUGAAUCAACAAAUUGAUUUUGAUCACUGCACAUUGGGAACCAGGGAAAAAAAAGGAUGGAAAAGAAAAUGCUAGAGGUCUGGGUAUUUGUUCACUGGUUUUUUUUUUUUUUCCUCUGAUCGAGGGCUGAAUUAUUAUUUGGUAGAGGCUCUAUGUGCAGCUUCAGUGUUGAUAACAUGAAAAUACUUAAGCUUAAAUUUAUAUAUGUGCAGAGGAAUUUCCCUGACUACAGCCAAUACCAUUGCAUCAAAACGGUAAAGUACAAGAAGGUCAGGUAACUUGUAAUUAUGAGUUCGACAAAGACGUUUGUACUCGUGAACUAUUACACUAAUCACAGUAAUUCCAACAUGAUGUUAGUCUUACUUUUUAGAUCUCUUGUUUUCACAUCAGUUAAACCUUUUUAAUAACACAAACACUUCUCCAUUAUCACUUCUCAUGAAGGCAUAACCUUUUUGCACAAAUUAACGUCAUUCUUAAUUUUUAAAGGUCUGUUUGAUUUUAUUUAUCGACAUAAGUCUGCCUGAACUUUUUUUCACUAUAGUCUGUGCUAUUCUGUCGGGAAGACACAUAGGAGCCUGUGCUUGCUAUCUUUCGAUCAGCAGGUACAGUGUUUUUGUAUUUCACAGUUAGAAUGAUGUUUAAUUCAGAAGCAAGGAGGAAACAUGGAGACCUCCAUAUGGAACAGAGCAAUAUCACAGAUAGUAAUGAAAGGAGCCUCAAAACAUAUGGUAGAGGCAUCAAGAGAAGCAAGGAACAAAGAAACAACUUUUGUCCCAGAUUACCAUAAUCACAUGAUGUAUGACACAUUUAGAUCAUGAAGUUACAAUGGGGUUCCAACAAAAAAGAAAAACAAUGCAAUGUAAUGAAGAGAUGUCACUCAAAAAACUCUUGAAAACAAGUUCUUAACAUUCUGUAAAACUAAACUGUACUCAGACAUCUUGUUGAAUCUUUUGCAGCUUACAGCUGUAGUGAUAGGGCCUGGUUUCACAAACAGGGUUUAGAUUAAGACAGGAUUAGGCCAUUAGCUAAUUUUAAUUAAAAGGAUAGUUCAAAAAUAAACAUUUGGUGAUGAUUUACUCACUCUCAUGUCCUAACAAACCUAUAUCAGGGCUCAACAAUAAGGACUGCCCGAUGGCCCGGGGCCAGUCUGAACGACGCUCGGGACAGUUGACGGAACUGUCACUUGCCCGAUCGGGCCAGUGCUGUAGUGUGUGCGAUAUAUAUCGUCUAUGAUAUCGUAAUUGUUGAUUUAACGAUCUGAAAUGAUCGAGUAUGUCCCUCACUUUACAAAAACCAAACAAAAACACCCUUGAGUGCACGCAUACACUACGUGAUGUAGGUUAGACUAGUGCGCGUGCAUAUUUAGAGUGUACGCUUUCACUGCAUGAUUUAGUCUAUUAAAAUGCAUUUAGAAAGCCCCUAGAAUUAAAGAUAAGGGGCAAAAAUGCCCCUGUAUGUCUUUUAUAUUUAUAUCAUUUAAUAUAGUUAACCAAUAUUACACAGAGCGCCGUUUUUCUCCAAAUAUCAGCAUGAUUUCAAAUGUGAUAUUGAUUUUAUACAACGUAUAGUUUAAUGAACAAGAACUUAAUAUCAAGUGACUUACAUUUUAGACACCAAAUCGCCUUUUUCACUCUAUUUCGCCAACGAAAUAGUUCCAAACAAAGUCCACAGCAUUGUUUUGCGUCUCUGAGCAACACUUCCUGAAUGAAUCGGUUGAAUCUCAAUGACUCGCUCAUUAAAAGUGAUUCGCUGCCACCUACUGGCGGGCUUAAUUUCAUAUUUAAUAUUCAUAUUCAUAUAAGUGUCUUGAUUUUUUAAAUAAUUUCAAAUAACAGUAUUUAACGUUUUGAAUUUUUCAACAUUGCAAAACAUUAUUUAUGCAUCUGUAACUGUUCUUGACUGAUUAACUAAUAAUGUUUGAUCUAUAGUUAUAUAGUUAUACAUUAGAUUACAAUUUCUGUACCUGGAAAUCUUGUUUAAACCUACAUGAAAAACUUGAAGAGCACUGUUUAUUUAAUUUAUAUGUUUGUUCUGUUGUAUUUAUUUGUGCUAUUACUCAUAAUUUGAGUAUUUGUUACUAUUUUAUUACUUACUGUUUAUUUGUCUAACAAAAUUUAAAAUUUAAGUGAGUUAGCUUUUGGUGUCAUAACCCUAUUUAUUAAGGUUAAAUAUAACAAAGACAACGAAAACAAUAACUAGGCUUAUUUUAUAGGCCCAUUUUCUUUUCUUUUACUUUAUUAAUUUUUUGUUGUGUGGCCAGUGAAAAUUUUGGUGGGGCAAGUAAAAAUUUAAACCAUUGGCCCAACUGGGCCAGUAGAAAAAAUCCUUAGCGUUGAGCCCUGUAUAUGAUUUUCUUAGGA